rnacentral:rRNA from 1 species
UACGUAGGGUGCAAGCGUUGUCCGGAAUUAUUGGGCGUAAAGAGCUUGUAGGCGGUUUGUCGCGUCUGCUGUGGAAUUUCGGGGCUCAACCCCGGACUUGCGGUGGGUACGGGCAGACUAGAGUGUGGUAGGGGAGACUGGAAUUCCUGGUGUAGCGGUGAAAUGCGCAGAUAUCAGGAGGAACACCGAUGGCGAAGGCAGGUCUCUGGGCCACUACUGACGCUGAGAAGCGAAAGCGUGGGGAGCGAACAGG